rnacentral:rRNA from 1 species
GAGGUCAAACCUGCCCAGUGAUGCAAAUUAAACGGCCGCGGUAUUUUGACCGUGCAAAGGUAGCGUAAUCAAUUGUCUUUUAAAUGAAGACCUGUAUGAAAGGUGAAACGAAAACUCAACUGUCUCAUUCUUUUAACCAAUGAAAUUGAUCUCUCCGUGCAGAAGCGGGGGUAAAAACAUUAGACAAAAAGACCCUGUGGAGCUUCAGAUAAUACAGCUUAUAGCUUUACAAACACUCUGUAAAACCUUAAACCCUGUUAACAUCUUCGAUUGGGGCGAUCGCGGAGAAAACAUACCCUCCAUGAAGAAAAAUACUAUUUUGAUAAUUAAGAGCCACAGCUCUAAAUACUAAAAUAUUUAACUUCACGAACCGGCUAGCCGAUUAACGAACUCAGUUACCCCAGGGAUAACAGCGCAAUCCCCUUAAAGAGUACUUAUCACCAAGGGGGUUUACGACCUCGAUGUUGGAUCAGGACAUCCUAAUGGCGCACCUGCUAUUAAGGGUUCGUUUGUUCAACGAUUAAAGUCCUACGUGAUCU